rnacentral:lncRNA from 1 species
AAAUGAAUAAAUACGACGUUAAAUUUUAUUGUACGAUUUAAAGAUAACGUCGUAGAACUAUACGAGAAUGACGUCGAUAUAUUUAUAUUUUCCGUCGUUGUAAAUUAAUUUAAUACGGCGAUAUUUUGUAUUUUAAAGCCGUGGAUUUGUUUGUAAUUAUACCGCGUCUUAGACGAAAACCUCGUCGUGUUAUUUUAUGAGUAAAAAUGGCAGUUUUUAUUGAAAUCGUC